UGAUGAUGAUGAUGAUGAUGAUGAUGAUGAUGAUGAUCUUUAGUCAAUUUAAGUUGCAUGCUGCAAGUCACAACUUAAAUUGACUUAAGAUCAUCAUCAUCAUCAUCAUCAUCGUGUACA
rnacentral:pre_miRNA from 1 species